AAAAAAAAUAGUUGCCAAAUUAGUACUUUUAGCAACUAAUAUUUUAGUCGUCGUUGAUUGAGAUUUGGCGACUAAAAAAGUUUGUCAGCGAAGGUACCUUUUCUGUGACUAACCUGCUCUUUUGGUUGCCAAAAAUUUGGGAGGGAAAUUUGAAAUGUGGAGGUGGGAAUUAAAAGCCCUGACUCCCAAGAUCAAAAAAUAAAAAAAAAAAUCAAAAGCCCUGAUUCCCAAGAUCAAUCUAUAGCCAAUGUUUCUAAUCAUAAAGGAAGAACAAAGAACACCAUUAGUGGCAUGGGUUAGUGAGAGAAGCUCUUCCAUUCUCUGGAAUUCCUAAAAUUCUAGGGUUUCAAUAGCUCAUUGAUGUCGAUAGAGUCUCCACAGUUUACCAAAGGGGUUUCGUCUAAGGCUAAGGAUGUAGUUAGGGAUUUGAAAUCACCAGUGUUAUUUGGUUUGGGGCAAACUAAAUCGGGUUUGAGCUUAGAGCAAGGGGAAUCGAAAAUUUCCUCUGAGGAAGUUCCUUCGAUUAGUGUUAACAGAUUGACGAUGGGGGGUGAAGGGAGUCUUAGCCCUAGUUCGAGGUCGUUCGCUGCUUCUAUGGAGGGUCUUCGAUCAGAAAUUGUUACGAUAGAUGCUCUUGGUCCUGAUGAGCGAGGUUCAACUAGAGGUAGGGUUUCAAAUCAGGGUUCGGAUGUGAUGAUUUCUCAGUCUCAGGCUAUUGAGGACCUGCAGGCUAGGCUCAACACCAUUUGUUUCAAAUAUGUUGCGGGUUUUAAAGGAGGAUCUGGUACCCAUUGAACUUGCUCAAGAAGAAAUAUCCACUCCUGCACUUCAGCGUUCAACCUGCUUCAGACUAAGUGGUCGGACAUUGUUGAAAUGGAAGGGGGAGAGGAGGUUGUUAUUUAUCGAUUCAAGGACUUACCUGAUAACCUGGUUGUGGCUAGGGCUAGAAAUUUGGUGUCAAAGCUUGAGUGAUGUGAGUCCACUCCAUUAUAUUGUGUGAGAGGGUGAGUUUGUGGGUUGAGUGACUGCAGCACUUCUACUGUUUUCUCUCACAGUUUGCUCUUGCAGGUUCCUAGCUGGCCCAGUUCUUUAGGGAUUGUGUAUUUCAGAUGAGAUGGCAAUACAGAAGCAGGUUCUCCUCCUGCUCACAUGGCACAAGUUGUAGCAAAUGCCUUUGUGGAGCGCUAUUACAAAGUGCUUCUUACUGAACCUAAAUCUUUUUACAAAUUUUAUGAGGAUUCAAGUAUGCUAAGCUAGCCAGGUCCGGAUGGAGAAAUGACAUCAGUGAAAACCAUAGAAAAUGGAAGAACAACACCUUCGGCUAGUAAAAACCCAACUUGAUCAGUGACUUGUAUGCACUCUUGUGUUUGGCCACUUCACAUAUUAAUGUUAGCCAUUUGCGGUUCUGUGCUUGCUUGCGUCUUUCUUGGAAUUUAAGAUUGUCCUAUUUUGCAUCUAUCUCUACUCCCCGGUGGGUAUACUCAUUCUGGAUUUGUUCUAAUUAUUAAACCUCUGUAUAUGGUGAAAAUACAUUUUGAACUCAAUGAUAUAUGGGAAGCACAGCGUCAUGCCUCAGAGAGACAACAAGAAUCCCAAUCUCCUUGAAAAUAUGAAAAGUUGAGAAAUUCAUUUAUUCAUGGAGGACGUGAAACUUGUGAAUCAUUUUGUGAUCCCAAUGAUGACAAUGAUUAUGAUAAUGGAGGCUUUGAUUUUGGUCCAUCUGAUUUUGACAUGCUAGAGAAUGCAUACGAGUAUGAAGAAGUACCACUGCAGCCUGAAAAGCAUGAUGACGGCGGUGUUUGUUUUGAAACCAAUGAACAUGAAGAUCCAGGUUCUCAAGCCAGCCUAGAAGAUCUUUGUUGAUCUACCUAUUGGUGAUGGAAAAAUUUGAGAGAGCUGAAAUGCUUCCAAGUGGCUAUUUCAUUCGGCCAUGCAAAGGUGGAGGGUCAAUUAUCCAUAAAGUUGAUAUGUUAGUUUGGAUCAGCUGCCGAGCAAGUUGAUAUGUUAAAUCAUUAAAGAAAGUGAAAGGCUUCAAGUUUUGUGUCAUGUUGGACUUCAAAGAGGAUAAAGCUUUUGAGAAGACAUGCUUACUAAAUUCAAUUUGACUUGAAUAUGUCUUGUGCUGCACUACAGUUACAUAUUUUCAUCUUUAUUUUAAAUGGAAUUCAAUUAUUGUUUGAUGAUUUAGUGAAGUUACAAGAAAGGAAAUUUGUUAAUUAUUGUUCCUAAGCUUUUUCUUUUUUAAAUGUUAUUGUUCCUUAAUUGUGGUUGGGUUGAA